GCAUGAUCAGAGGAGUGAAGAUGAAUAUGGAUCAUCACGCAACACAAAUGGUUAGUGUUGGCGGCUACUUAAGGAGUCCGACUACAGGUGUGUUAAGAGAAGAUAAGAGCAUUCGAUUUGACUUCAUGGGCUGUGUCCUGCAAGUGGCAUCUCCAAUGGUGUCCUUAACCUCUAACCAGACAGAAAACAGACCUCAUUCUCUGCAGAGUCCAGUCUUCUUCAGAUAGACAAAUGCCAGAAACUGUCAAAUUUCUACUGCAAAGGAGACGAGGAAUGUGCUUGGCACUGUCCGCUCUUCUAUAGUCGACCCUGGAGUUGUCAAAGUCUUAAGGAGUCUCCUAAAAUAAACACAACGUAGUUAUUGAUUUACUUUCCUUAACAGCGUCAUUUAAGGAAUAAUAAAAUAUGUAAUGCUGACCUUGAAA